GAACUGAAGAGUUUGAUCAUGGCUCAGAUUGAACGCUGGCGGCAGGCCUAACACAUGCAAGUCGGACGGCAGCACG
rfam:Pseudomonadales bacterium CV58 contig_139, whole genome shotgun sequence.